rnacentral:rRNA from 1 species
CGAUGGAUGCCCGCUAUUCGCUCAUUUCUGAGCGUGUGGCCAAGCGAAAGCGUUAAGCAUCCCACCUGGGGAGUACGCCGGCAACGGUGAAACUCAAAGGAAUUGACGGGGGCCCGCACAAGCGGAGGAACAUGUGGUUUAAUUCGAUGAUACGCGAGGAACCUUACCCGGGCUUGAAUUGCAGAGGAAAGAUCCAGAGAUGGUGAUGCCCUUCGGGGCUUCUGUGAAGGUGCUGCAUGGCUGUCGUCAG